rnacentral:rRNA from 1 species
GAUGAACGCUGGCGGCGUGCCUAAUACAUGCAAGUCGAGCGAACAGACGAGGAGCUUGCUCCUCUGACGUUAGCGGCGGACGGGUGAGUAACACGUGGAUAACCUACCUAUAAGACUGGGAUAACUUCGGGAAACCGGAGCUAAUACCGGAUAAUAUAUUGAACCGCAUGGUUCAAUAGUGAAAGACGGUUUUGCUGUCACUUAUAGAUGGAUCCGCGCCGCAUUAGCUAGUUGGUAAGGUAACGGCUUACCAAGGCGACGAUGCGUAGCCGACCUGAGAGGGUGAUCGGCCACACUGGAACUGAGACACGGUCCAGACUCCUAAGGGAGGCAGCAGUAGGGAAUCUGCCGCAAUGGGCGAAAGCCUGACGGAGCAACGCCGCGUGAGUGAUGAAGGUCUUCGGAUCGUAAAACUCUGUUAUUAGGGAAGAACAAAUGUGUAAGUAACUAUGCACGUCUUGACGGUACCUAAUCAGAAAGCCACGGCUAACUACGUG